UCCCUGGUAAGUCCAGUGCUAAGACUCCACACUAUCAAUGCAGGGCCCCAGGUUCAAUCCCUGGUCAGGGAA
rnacentral:tRNA from 1 species